GUGCUCGCUUCGGCAGCACAUAUACUACAACUGUGAACAAUACAGAGAAGAUUAGCAUUGGCCCCUGCCUAAGGAUGACACACAAAUUCAUGAAGCGUUCCAUAUUUUG
ensembl:snRNA U6 U6 spliceosomal RNA